UGCAAAUAUGUCAGAAGGAAAAUAGUCAAUUGCAAGUAAAAGAAAGAAAGAACCGAAAAUACACAAAUGGUCAAUUUUAAAGUCAGUGCAAAAGAAAAAAAAGAACACUCCAGAAGAGAAAAAAAACUCCAAAAGACACAGAGGAAAAUUAGACAUCCAAACUUACCAAAAUGCCAAAAAAAUGCCACCAAAAGUCCCCCUAGCCAAAAAUGCACAAGCAAAACCUCCCCCAAACGGCACCACACUCCCACACUCUCCCACUUCCUUGAUUUUCUCCCCUUAUCUCUCCAUAAUCCACUCCACAAGUUACUCCUACAAUCUGUCCAUGACCCAUUCAAACCUCACCU
rnacentral:lncRNA from 1 species